GUGUCAGCCGCCGCGGUAAUACGUAGGGUGCAAGCGUUGCCCGGAUUUAUUGGGCGUAAAGGGCGCGUAGGCGGCUACGCACGUCCGUUGUGAAAUCGCCCGGCUCAACUGGGCGGGGUCGGCGGAUACGGCGUAGCUGGAGCAAGCUAGGGGGCAAUGGAAUUCCCGGUGUAGUGGUGGAAUGCGUAGAUAUCGGGAGGAACACCAGUGGCGAAGGCGGUUGCCUGGGGCUUUGCUGACGCUGAUGCGCGAAAGCGUGGGGAGCGAUCCGGAUUAGAUACCCCCGUAGUCC
rnacentral:rRNA from 1 species